GACGAACGCUGGCGGCGUGCCUAAUACAUGCAAGUUGAGCGCUGAAGGUUGGUACUUGUACCGACUGGAUGAGCAGCGAACGGGUGAGUAACGCGUGGGGAAUCUGCCUUUGAGCGGGGGACAACAUUUGGAAACGAAUGCUAAUACCGCAUAAAAACUUUAAACACAAGUUUUAAGUUUGAAAGAUGCAAUUGCAUCACUCAAAGAUGAUCCCGCGUUGUAUUAGCUAGUUGGUGAGGUAAAGGCUCACCAAGGCGAUGAUACAUAGCCGACCUGAGAGGGUGGUCGGCCACAUUGGGACUGAGUCACGGCCCAAACUCCUACGGGAGGCAGCAGUAGGGAAUCUUCGGCAAUGGACGAAAGUCUGACCGAGCAACGCCGCGGGAGUGAAGAAGGUUUUCGGAUCGUAAAACUCUGUUGGUAGAGAAGAACGUUGGUGAGAGUGGAAAGCUCAUCAAGUGACGGUAACUACCCAGAAAGGGACGGCUAACUACGUG
rnacentral:rRNA from 1 species